CUAUUCUCAAACAGUUUGGUCCGGCGAAAGUCCCUGGGCAAGCAUGUUGUUGCGAUGCGGAGAGCACAGGCAGCAAAAGAAGAAAGAAGGACAAGGAUGACGUUUCAGUAGUUGUCCACGAUCCUUCUGGCAUUUUAGUACCAAUGAGACUAUCCGAGCUUUCGGAGAAA
rnacentral:RNase_MRP_RNA from 11 species